rnacentral:rRNA from 1 species
GAUGAACGCUGGCGGCGUGCCUAAUACAUGCAAGUCGAGCGAACAGACGAGGAGCUUGCUCCUUUGACGUUAGCGGCGGACGGGUGAGUAACACGUAGGUAACCUACCUAUAAGACUGGGAUAACUUCGGGAAACCGGAGCUAAUACCGGAUAAUAUUUCGAACCGCCUGGUUCGAUAGUGAAAGAUGGCUUUGCUAUCACUUAUAGAUGGACCUGCGCCGUAUUAGCUAGUUGGUAAGGUAACGGCUUACCAAGGCAACGAUACGUAGCCGACCUGAGAGGGUGAUCGGCCACACUGGAACUGAGACACGGUCCAGACUCCUACGGGAGGCAGCAGUAGGGAAUCUUCCGCAAUGGGCGAAAGCCUGACGGAGCAACGCCGCGUGAGUGAUGAAGGUCUUCGGAUCGUAAAACUCUGUUAUUAGGGAAGAACAAACGUGUAAGUAACUGUGCACGUCUUGACGGUACCUAAUCAGAAAGCCACGGCUAACUACGUG